UACGUAGGUGGCAAGCGUUGUCCGGAUUUACUGGGCGUAAAGCGUGCGCAGGCGGACGGGUAAGUAGGAAGUGAAAGGUUGGAGCUCAACUCCAACACUGCUCCUAUACUGCCUGUCUUGAAUGUCGGAGAGGAAGAGGGAACGACACGUGUAGCGGUGAAAUGCGUUGAGAUGUGUCGGAACACCAAUGGGCGAAAGCACUCUUCUGGACGAAUAUUGACGCUCAGGCACGGAAAGCUAAGGUAGCAAACAGG
rnacentral:rRNA from 1 species